ACCAGGCCCAGCAGCUCCAGGUGGAUUACGUCAUUGCUAGGGAAGCCCUGGGGAACGGGUCCAGAAGGCUGGAUUUCAUCUUCCUGGUCGUGGCCAAGGGAGCCAUCGCCAGGGUCCUCCACAAGGGGCUGGACCUCAGGGAGGGGGCUGGGCUGAAGGGCUCCUUCUCUGUGGAGCUGCCCAUCGGCGCUGACCUGGCGCCCGCUGCCACGGUGCUGGGUUACACGGUGCUGCCCGAUGGCGAGAUGGCUG